AAUAUGGCUUUCAAUAUGAAUUUUUUAUUCAUAUGAAAUGAAAUUGAGAUAAUAUGUUUGGAAGACCCAAAAAUUAAUUAUGAGAUGAAAUCAUGACCCGAAAUAUGGCUUGAAAUAUGAAAUUUUUUAUUCAUAUGAAAUUGAGAUGGUAUUUUUGGAUGAUCCGAAAUUUAAUUAUGAUAGAUUAUUGAUCGUAAAUGUGGCAUUUGAUAUGAAUUUUUUAUUCAUAGAAAUGAAAUUGAAAAUUUGAUAUAGAUUGUGUUUCGAUGACUCGGAAUUUAAUUACGAGAUGAAUUCUUGACUCAAAAUAUGGCUUCCAAUAUGAAUUUUUUAUUCAUAUGAAAUGAAAUUGAGAUAAUAUGUUUGGAAGACCCGAAAUUUAAUUACAAAAUGAAUUCUUGACCUAAGAUGUGACUUGCAAUAUACAUUUUUUAUUUAUAUGAAAUUGAGAUGGUAUUUUUGGAUGACCCGGAAUUUAAUUAUGAGAUAGAUUCUUGACCGUAAAUGAUGUGGCAUUCGAUAUGAAUUUUUUAUUCAUAUGAAAUUGAGAUGGUAUUUUUGGAUGACCCGGAAUUUAAUUAUGAGAUAGAUUCUUGACCGUAAAUGAUGUGGCAUUCGAUAUGAAUUUUUUAUUCAUAUGAAAUGAAAUUGAGAUAGUAUGUUUGGAAUACUUGAAAUUUAAUUAUUCUUGACCCAAAAUGUGGCUUGCAAAAUGAAUUUUUUAUUCGUAUGAAAUAAAAUUGAGAAUUUGAGAUAGGAUGCCUGGAAGACCUGAAAUUUGAUUAUAUUGAUUUUUUUAUUCAUAUGAAAUUGAGAGCAUUUUUGGAUGUCCCAAAAUUUAAUAAUGAGAUAGAUUCUUGACCCUAAAAGUGACAUUCAAUAUGAAUUGCUAUUCAUAUGAAAUUGGGAUUGAAUGACAGUAUUGUGCCUCGAUGACCAUAGAUACAAAUUUGAUAUUUGAGUGUAUAUGAUCCUAAAUUCUUGAUAAAUUAGAAUGAAAAUAUUGUCCCUCAAUGACCUUGGGUGGUGUGAUGAAAUUGGGUGGUCUUGUUGAAGCGGCAUCUUGCAAUGCCUUGUUGACACAGGGAUCGGAAGGCAAAGAGACAUUCAAAAUAUCAUUAAACUGUUGGCAGAGAUGGAAGAAACAAAAAUACGAGCCCAGUGGUAUAACUUUUGGGAUUUUUACUAAUCACAUAUGCAAGGCUAGGAGGAUCGAUGAGGCGUUGGAGGUGUUUGAUAAAUUGGUGUUGAACCUGAUGUGGUUUUGUAUAAUACUUUGAUUGACAAUCUUAGUAAAGUUGGGAGGGUAGAAGAUGGUUUGAGUUUGCUGGCAGAGAUGAAAACGGAGAAGAAAAAUAGGCCAAACACUGUGUCAUAUAAUUGCUUGAUUGAUGAGUUCUGCAAAGCUGAAAGGAAAUGUUGUUACUUAUACUGUGUUGAUAUCUGCAUUCUGUGGUGUGAACAAUAUUGAUAAAAGCCAUGCAUAUAACUUGCUACUAUGUUCUCAUAAGUGGGUUCUGUAAGAAGAAGAAAUUGGUUUCUUACCUUGGCAAAGCUGGAGAUUUUGCAACUACUAGUAAGGUGAUGAAAAAGAUGAUAAAAGAGGGUCUUAAGCCAUCUGUUGUCACAUAUGAGGCAGUUAUACAUUCAUUCAUAUUUUUUUUAAAGAAGAAUGUUGAUGAGGCCAUGAAGUCACUCUGUUAGUAGUAGGCUUGUGCUAUAAGUUAAAUGCUUAGCUUUUAAUUGUCUAAGCUCCAAUUUUUCGUACUCUUUUGAGCUCAUUUUCAGACCACGUUAUUUUAGUAAUAUGUUGCGGAAUCACAAUACUUUACUUGGUUAUCAUAUUGAAUAAUUGUUUGAACUUUGAAGGGGUUGAUCAUGAACUUUCUAUUAGGAUACUAUGACACUUUUUUUCCUGUUGAUGAAAUAAUUGAACUAUCUAAGAAUCAGAGGACAAGAUAGUGUGCCAAUUGAGGAAGGCAGCACAAUGGAUUGUGUGACCCUAACAAUUAAAAAUUGAAAUUUGCACAGGCCACGUAGCGUGUGGAAGAAGGGAUAUGUGCAAGUUGUGAAGUCCUGAUAUUUGUUAUUGUUAAUAAUUUUUAUUAUAUAGGUGUUUUGCAAUUGGAACUGUGCUUUUCUGUGACAAUCAAUCUACAGUUGCAAAUUAUGUCACUUAAAUUUCAGAUGCAUAUUCAGUUUUUUCUCAAUGCUUUUUUGCUAGCUUUUGUAUUUUAUUUUAUUUUACCCUUGUGUGCUCAAUUGUCUCUUUGGUAUAGGUUCAUGGUGUAUUUUAUACCAGAUCAAAAGUUCCAGUAUUAAUGGUUACCGUGAAUACUGUCUUGGAAUUGAAUUGUGUUGAUUGGUUAAUCUUCCUUUCACUUCCUUUUACAUGUUUCCCUUUUCUUAUGUUAUUUUAUUUUCUUUCUAUUGCUUUUGGUGUGCUGAAAAUGUUUUCCUAUUGCUAUUCUUGAUUAUGUUGAGAGCAAAAUUGGAUUUGAUGAUGAUCAGUGUAUUGUUGUGAACUGGAGUUGAAGGAUGAAAGACUACUGAGACAAACUCAUCCAAGGAAUUGCUGAGUUAUCCGCAGAAUAAUAUAAGCAUUUCGGCUUCAUCAAACCAAACUGUCAACAAACUACAUAGUCUCCCUCUUGAAUUGUAAUUUCUGAGCAUGAAAUUGUGAACUGCUACCUACCUUUGGUUUGUGACUUUUAUUCAAUAUUUGUUGAAGGAAUGGAGAAAGCGUCUGUAGAGAAAUUUGAAAUAGUCAUUGAGGAUCAAGCUGAUUGAUUUAUUUAGGGAUUUGAUAUAUGAUUACUUGAUUUGCUUGGCAUUGUAAAGACAUCCACAACUGUCUCUUUUUGUUAUAAGUAUUUUAAGAUUCCCUUCAUUAAGUUGCUACGAUUCUUAUUGAAGAGGAAAAAAAUCACCACAACAGAAUAACGGUACCUGGUCGCAUGUGCAAGAGUCAAGUGGUCAUCAUAUUUUUUUUAGCUUUCUUACUUUCAUUUCUACGAGUCAAGUGAGAAAUUAUAUGCUUUGAUUGCUCAUUCAGGUUAGGACUAAAAUCUUUGGAUUCUCACUCCAUUUUCAACAUGUUCUCUGUUUUGUGUCUGCCUAAUCAAGUAUGCCUUAAAUUGUUUAGUACUUGGGUUGCACAUUAUACAAAAGGUUUUGUCUAUAGGCUUGAAUUGGGAUACAUAAGAUUUUGCCUUUAGGAGUGAAACUAUUUACUACUUGGGUUUGCACAUAUAUCAGUAUAAUACUAUAGUUCACUUUUCUGCUUUUCCAUGUGUCAUUUUUUACUGGACAAAUACUUAAAUACGUAUUCAAUUUCAU